CUGACAAACGGUUUAUAUCAGAAGGUGGAAUCGUGGGUAUGGUCGAUGUGGCAGGUCCUAAACAUAAAUUGGGUUUCUUUUUUAUUUUCAUUUAUUAAAUACAGAAGAAAUAUUUCGCUGAAGACACAGGAAACCCUAUUUUGUAUAAACGAGGGAUUGCAAGAGAUUGUUGGAAGAUCAAAGAUGGGUGAAUUGGAGGAACACAAAAAAAGCAAGAGAACCAAGGGUUGUGAAAUGCAAGAGCUGAGAUAUAAGUUCAGAGAAGGAAAAACUUAAGAACGACUAAAGCCACAUUUGAGGCUGCCGAGGGAUACUUUGUUCCAGGAAUCAGGCCACAUACAGAAAUACAGAGUGAAGAUGUGGGGAGAGGACUUAUGACAGAAUCAUAAUUAAGACGCAAUUCAUAAUUAAGACAUGAAUCUCGACAGAAGGAGUUGAUCCGGAAACUUUAUCCUGACUUGUAGAUGCUUCAAGUUGAGAGGUUCUGUAAAACACUUGGUAAAUAACAAAGGCUCCAGACAUUCAAAAGGAUAUUCGUAGAAUAGGAAUCUAAAAUACCAAACAGUAGAAAACACAGUAAGGAACAUUAACAAAAGAAGAAGCUGCCAAACACAUGUACUCUAAAAGUACAUAAUUCCAAUGUUGCUAUUUCUGAUGAGCCCUAAAUUCCUUUGGUUCGUACCUUGACAUUUAGAGUGUUUUUAGAUCUUCACCAAGCUCUAACGCUGAAAAGUUACUCUGACAUUUGCCGAGACCAGCUUGGUCGGGAAGACCCUAACCCAGCGGUGCUAGAGGAAUUAAAGACACACACACAGAAAUAUAGAGAUGUGGACUGGGAAAUCAGGGAUCUCACAGCCUUCAGAGCUGAGAGCCUCGAACAGAGAUUUACUCACGUAUUUAUUAACAGCAAGCCACUGAUAAGCAUUGUUUCUGUAGAUUAUAGAUUAACUAAAAGUAUUCCUUACAGGAAAUAAAGGGAGGAAACGGGAAGGCUGGAACCAUGUCCAGCUGGGAUAAGGCUUUCUUCCUGAGAACAAAAAGGAUUUAUGAAGGAAAAAG
rnacentral:lncRNA from 1 species